CAAGCUCGCGAGAGUAAGCUAAUCUCUUAAAGCCGUUCUCAGUUCGGACUGUAGGCUGCAACUCGCCUACACGAAGUCGGAAUCGCUAGUAAUCGCGGAUCAGCAUGCCGCGGUGAAUAUGUUCCCGGGUCUUGUACACACCGCCCGUCACACCAUGGGAGUUGGAAAUGCCCGAAGUCAGUGACCCAACCGCAAGGAGGGAGCUGCCGAAGGCAGGUCCGGUAACUGGGGUGAAGUCGUAACAAGGUAGC
rnacentral:rRNA from 1 species